CGGGGUGAGUAACGCGUGGGUAACCUGCCUCAUACAGGGGGAUAACAGUUGGAAACGACUGCUAAUACCGCAUAAGCGCACAGGAUCGCAUGAUCCGGUGUGAAAAACUCCGGUGGUAUGAGAUGGAUCCGCGUCUGAUUAGCCAGUUGGCAGGGUAACGGCCUACCAAAGCGACGAUCAGUAGCCGACCUGAGAGGGUGACCGGCCACAUUGGGACUGAGACACGGCCCAA
rnacentral:rRNA from 1 species